UAAUUAUGGCUCUCAAUUUUAAAAGCAGGA
rnacentral:piRNA from 1 species